UUUCACGCUUUAAACUAUAAAUACCUCACUUUCAAUUAGGGCUAUUAGCUUAUAGCUGAUUUUCAAAGAUUUAUUGAUUUCUACAAACUAAAGAACUUGGAUGGAUUUUCUCCUUGUUUAGAGCUCACCUAAGAUUGUUUUUGUUCUGCAUUUGGACUGUAUUCAAGGGAACUGGAAGGAUAUUGCAUACUGAUGACCUUUCCUUGUUAAUAUGGUGACUCUUCGUUUGAUUUUGCACCAAUGUUGGACAUCUGGUGGAUAGCAAUCCCAACUUAUACCAGAUAAAAGCAUUCUCUCUAUUUUUGGCAUUAUGGCAUCCAUAUUAAUCUCAGCAAUAUUCUCCCCUAUAUAAGCAUUGUGCUGUCAGGGUUGUGUACUUAAGACAAUUUGAACUAGAAAAUUGAUGUAUUGAUGUGUGAUAUGUUUGUUGUUAUUUCUAGUUAGGUGUUAUAUAUUGAUGUGUGAUAUGUGUUAAUGUAUAAAUAGUGAAAUUCAAAGAUAGAGAUCAAGUUA